rnacentral:rRNA from 1 species
UACGUAGGGGGCUAGCGUUGUCCGGAAUCAUUGGGCGUAAAGAGCGUGUAGGCGGCUCGGUAAGUCCGCUGUGAAAGUCCAGGGCUCAACCCUGGAAUGCCAGUGGAAACUGUCGAGCUAGAGUCCGGAAGAGGCGAGUGGAAUUCCUGGUGUAGCGGUGAAAUGCGCAGAUAUCAGGAGGAACACCAAUGGCGAAGGCAGCUCGCUGGGACGGUACUGACGCUGAGAUGCGAAAGCGUGGGGAUCAAACAGG